rnacentral:rRNA from 1 species
AGCGAACGCUGGCGGCAGCUUACACAUGCAAGUCGAGCGGGCGUAGCAAUACGUCAGCGGCAGACGGGUGAGUAACGCGUGGGAACAUACCUUUUGGUUCGGAACAACACAGGGAAACUUGUGCUAAUACCGGAUAAGCCCUUACGGGGAAAGGUUUAUCGCCGAAAGAUUGGCCCGCGUCUGAUUAGCUAGUUGGUAGGGUAAUGGCCUACCAAGGCGACGAUCAGUAGCUGGUCUGAGAGGAUGAUCAGCCACAUUGGGACUGAGACACGGCCCAAACUCCUACGGGAGGCAGCAGUGGGGAAUAUUGGACAAUGGGGGCAACCCUGAUCCAGCCAUGCCGCGUGAGUGAUGAAGGCCCUAGGGUUGUAAAGCUCUUUUGUGCGGGAAGAUAAUGACGGUACCGCAAGAAUAAGCCCCGGCUAACUUCGUGCCAGCAGCCGCGGUAAUACGAAGGGGGCUAGCGUUGCUCGGAAUCACUGGGCGUAAAGGGUGCGUAGGCGGGUCUUUAAGUCAGGGGUGAAAUCCUGGAGCUCAACUCCAGAACUGCCUUUGAUACUGAAGAUCUUGAGUUCGGGAGAGGUGAGUGGAACUGCGAGUGUAGAGGUGAAAUUCGUAGAUAUUCGCAAGAACACCAGUGGCGAAGGCGGCUCACUGGCCCGAUACUGACGCUGAGGCACGAAAGCGUGG